AUGAACGCUGGCGGCGUGCCUAAUCCAUGCAAGUCGAGCGAACGGACGAGAAGCUUGCUUUUCUGAUGUUAGCGGCGGACGGGUGAGUAACACGUGGAUAACCUACCUAUAAGACUGGGAUAACUUCGGGAAACCGGAGCUAAUACCGGAUAAUAUUUUGAACCGCAUGGUUCAAAAGUGAAAGACGGUCUUGCUGUCACUUAUAGAUGGAUCCGCGCUGCAUUAGCUAGUUGGUAAGGUAACGGCUUACCAAGGCAACGAUGCAUAGCCGACCUGAGAGGGUGCUCGGCCACACUGGAACUGAGACACGGUCCAGACUCCUACGGGAGGCAGCAGUAGGGAAUCUUCCGCAAUGGGCGAAAGCCUGACGGAGCAACGCCGCGUGAGUGAUGAAGGUCUUCGGAUCGUAAAACUCUGUUAUUAGGGAAGAACAUAUGUGUAAGUAACUGUGCACAUCUUGACGGUACCUAAUCAGAAAGCCACGGCUAACUACGUG
rnacentral:rRNA from 1 species